rnacentral:rRNA from 1 species
UACGUAGGCAGCGAGCGUUGUUCGGAUUUACUGGGCGUAAAGGGUGUGUAGGCGGUUCUUUAAGUUUGGUGUGAAAUCUCCCGGCUCAACCGGGAGGGUGCGCCGAAUACUGAGGAACUAGAGUACGGGAGAGGAAAGUGGAAUUCCUGGUGUAGCGGUGAAAUGCGUAGAUAUCAGGAGGAACACCGGUGGUGUAGACGGCUUUCUGGACCGUAACUGACGCUGAGACACGAAAGCGUGGGUAGCAAACAGG